GAUGAACGCUGGCGGCGUGCCUAAUACAUGCAAGUCGAGCGAACAGACGAGGAGCUUGCUCCUCUGACGUUAGCGGCGGACGGGUGAGCAACACGUGGAUAACCUACCUAUAAGACUGGGAUAACUUCGGGAAACCGGAGCUAAUACCGGAUAAUAUAUUGAACCGCAUGGUUCAAUAGUGAAAGACGGUUUUGCUGUCACUUAUAGAUGGAUCCGCGCCGCAUUAGCUAGUUGGUAAGGUAACGGCUUACCAAAGCAACGAUGCGUAGCCGACCUGAGAGGGUGAUCGGCCACACUGGAACUGAGACACGGUCCAGACUCCUACGGGAGGCAGCAGUAGGGAAUCUUCCGCAAUGGGCGAAAGCCUGACGGAGCAACGCCGCGUGAGUGAUGAAGGUCUUCGGAUCGUAAAACUCUGUUAUUAGGGAAGAACAAAUGUGUAAGUAACUAUGCACGUCUUGACGGUACCUAAUCAGAAAGCCACGGCUAACUACGUG
rnacentral:rRNA from 1 species